rnacentral:lncRNA from 1 species
AACGAAGGCCUCCUCCGCCGCCGUGCCCAGAUGUAGAAGGGGUGGCGUUACGGUUCUUGACGUCCAAAUUGGCGACUACUACCGCGACGCCGAAUGUUGACAUUAUGUGAAUACGUGAAGUGGGUGGGACGCGCCAGAAUCUGCAGUUGUUAGAAGGAAAAACAGAUCUGUGUACUAAAAUUGCCUCUCACACCGGUGUGUGGGAUCCACCUUCGUACAUUACUUGUGCUGCAAUGGAAUUUUCAAUUUUGCAGUUUUUAAUUUUUUAAAUAAAUAAUUUCAGUUUCAAUAAAUAAUUUAUGCUCCUCAAAUUUCUAAAAU